AGUGUAUUUGACAAGCUGUGUUUGACACUCUGUAUCUGCGAGUGUCAGUUUGUCAAAUACCCCAA
rnacentral:pre_miRNA from 1 species